AUUGAACGCUGGCGGAAUGCUUUACACAUGCAAGUCGAACGGCAGCACGGGGGCAACCCUGGUGGCGAGUGGCGAACGGGUGAGUAAUACAUCGGAACGUGCCCGGUCGUGGGGGAUAACGUAGCGAAAGUUACGCUAAUACCGCAUACGAUCUGAGGAUGAAAGCGGGGGACCUUCGGGCCUCGCGCGAUCGGAGCGGCCGAUGUCAGAUUAGGUAGUUGGUGGGGUAAAGGCCUACCAAGCCGACGAUCUGUAGCUGGUCUGAGAGGACGACCAGCCACACUGGGACUGAGACACGGCCCAGACUCCUACGGGAGGCAGCAGUGGGGAAUUUUGGACAAUGGGCGCAAGCCUGCUCCAGCCAUUCCGCGUGCAGGACGAAGGCCUUCGGGUUGUAAACUGCUUUUGUAUGGAACGAAAAGGCUCUGGCUAAUACCUGGGGCUCAUGACGGUACCGUAAGAAUAAGCACCGGCUAACUACGUG
rnacentral:rRNA from 1 species